rnacentral:misc_RNA from 1 species
GUAUUGUAUUGCGUUAAACGCUACAUGCAUUCCAUGAGACUUUGUUACAAUGUGUGUGUAAAGAUGCAGAACCAUGGCAGGAGGACAGGUCCCCCGACCAUAGAACUACAGAGUGUGCACAGGGUGUGAGUGGAUGUGUGAACAGAGUGUGCACAUGCCCCCGUUUGAGGACCAGCAACAACUCUUGUUGACAAUUCAGUAAUGAUCCUUCCGCAGGUUCACCUACGGAAA